GACAGCAGUCGCCGCGGUAAUACGUAUGUCACGAGCGUUAUCCGGAUUUAUUGGGCGUAAAGCGCGUCUAGGUGGUUAUAUAAGUCUGAUGUGAAAAUGCAGGGCUCAACUCUGUAUUGCGUUGGAAACUGUAUAACUAGAGUACUGGAGAGGUAAGCGGAACUACAAGUGUAGAGGUGAAAUUCGUAGAUAUUUGUAGGAAUGCCGAUGGGGAAGCCAGCUUACUGGACAGAUACUGACGCUGAAGCGCGAAAGCGUGGGUAGCAAACAGGAUUAGAUACCCCCGUAGUCCCUGUCUCUUAUACA
rnacentral:rRNA from 1 species